AUCCCGUUGCGAAAUCAAGCACGUAUGUUGUCAUUUUCGCAACGACCCGUUGUUAUUUUUUUCAACAACGGCUGUUGGUGAAUUGUACAUGAACGUGCUCAAAUUGACACCGAGACGUGGUCAACUUUCGGUACCAACAACAGCCGUGCUUAAUUUGUCCACCGAUGUGCUCAAAAUGACAACGUUGGGUUUUUAAUAUUGGUAAUUGCAGCCGAUUACACACGAGUAAAAAAUGACAACGGUGGUGCAUGAUUCACACACGGUCGUUGUCAAUAUGACACCGGUCGUGUAUGAAUUAUGCACCACCACCUGCAUAAUGAUGCACCACCGUUGUUACUUUGUACACCGACGUGCAUGAAUCGUACACGAUCGUUGCCAUUUUAGCAACUACCGUGUAUGAAUCAUGCACCACCGUUGUCAUUUUCUUACUCGUGUGCAAUCGGCUGCAUAUUUUCCAUUUUUCCGUGUUAUUGAAAGAAAAAGGACGCAUUGUGCAAAAAUUUAUUGAAAAUGAAUAAUAAUUCGCAAGAUGCUCAAAAUAUUAUUGGUGAGUUGUUAGAAAUCGAUGGCAAUAUUGUUGUGGUUCGCGAUACAAGCCAUUGCAGCAGUCAAGAUGCGGAAAACAAUGAGGACGAUUAUAUGUUAAGGGAGUUCUUAAAAGGAAUAAAUAUGUAGUCUCUUUUUGAACAAUUAAAAGCAUCACAUGUAUCAUUUCGCAGUUUGCGAAAAAAGAAGAUUUAAAGGAAGCAGUGCCACCAUUGGGACUGCGUGUUGAAUUCUGAGAAAAGCUCUUUGCUUGGAAAAAACGAGAGCUCGGGAUUGAUGACGAAACUAUGUCAGUUUAAAAUAGGUGAAUGGUGGAAACGCAACGAGACACCUACAAGUACUCCUGGUACUCCCGACACUACAGGUUCGAACUGCUCAAAAGCCAAAGGAAUUUUGUCAGAGGAUCUAACGGAAUUGUUAACACAUACCUCGAAGGGGAACCUACGCUUGAAUGUAGAAGCGUUAAUAAGAAAUUAAGUGACGAGCAAAGAAAUGAUAUAAUUAAUAUAAUUAUUGAAGAUAUUUUAACCAACAAUGUUGCUCUUUACACUCAAGACUAUAUGCGCAUAUUGGACGAAAUUUGUUCCGUUUUUCCUCUUGAAAACGAAAUGAGGGAUUAUUAUUACAUUUCAACAACAACGCAGAACGACGCAAGCGGAAAACUUUAUGCCAAGUAUAGAAACAAGAAGCCCAAAAGAAUAAAGCUUUUGAUUUCCGAACCUAGCACAAGCAAAGCAGCAACUCACACGUCUCCUAAUUUUUGUAACAAAGAUGUUCCCGAAAUUAAUGAAUUAGUUGAGAUUCAUUGAAAGCUUCCUUACUAAGAGAAUGUAAUGAUUGGGGAUCGAUCUGCAAAAAAUGGAAAAGAUCUUUUAACAUACGGCAAAGAGAUAUAAAAAAAUGGCCGAAGUUGUCCGAUGCAAGAGUUUCAGAAUUGGUAAGUAGCCAUGAGUCAAAUAUUUAUGUAUGGCAUUUUACUUAUAUCCUAUGAAUAAUGGAAAAGUUUA